rnacentral:lncRNA from 1 species
GUCUAUUCCAGUGUCUUCUGGAUCGUUCUCAUUCUUUGAUCUGUAAUGUUUUCAUGUUAUAGUUACUGUAUAAAUCUGUAAAUACAAUGGCAGAUAUCAAUUGCCGCUAGCUCUCAUUGGGUUGAUAUCAUGUUUGGCACUGUGGGACAUAUUUAAGUUUUGUGCUGAUCGGUGGGAAUUAUAUAGGCGCCCUUAUCUCAGACAAACCUUGCUUCAUAUUGCGCAGUGUGGUGAGUUGAGUUCAUUUUUCUUCAAAUUGAAUUCGAGUUUCCUUGUUUGCUGCAUUUGUUGGCUGGAAGUAAUCUAAGUUCUGCAUCGUUGGAUACAAACCUGCAAGAAGCAGAUGAAUGAAAUCUGUUCUUAGACACAAUGAAUAGAACUUGUAUAUCUUUGUUCCCAACAGAUGCAUGAUUAAGCCAUUUAGUUUUUAGGUAUGUAGAUGAAGGGAAUAAAUUUAUAAAUCAUACAAAAUAACCUAAUUACAUGGCAGUGACUUUGAUGGCUCGAAAGUAUUCCCUUUGGGACAAUGGCUAGAGCUUAGAUGUUCCAGUGUUGCCAGUUUUAGUCUACUAUGAAUCAGUAUAGCUUUACUAUUGAUGAGGACCAUAUGCUGAUUAAAUAAUAUCAGUAAACUUAAUUUUGUGACAGUGGCUUUUUAGUAAAAGUUGAUACAUUGUUGACUGUGUUAUAGUCCUUCCAUGAAUAUGAAUUUGUAAAUACACAUUCUUGAACUUCUGUUAUUUUAAACUUAAGUUUCGUCAAUUAAAUGGAAAUUUGACUUUCAUUUUACUUGAGCAAGAAAACUGCUCAAUUCAGAACUAGGAAAAAAUAUAUUGUAAUUCGCUCUGCUAGAAGAAUGGCCACUCUUUUUCAGUUCAAUCGUAUUGAACUACCACCAUUUUUUCUUCUCUUACUGUUUUUCUAAGGGAAGAGGAGGGGUAAGUGGGGGUGGUUUUAUCAGGUAGUCUUGCUAGAAAACUGACCACUCUUCUAUUUAUCAAUCUGAUGAUUGAACUAACAAGUACCAUCAGUUUCUCUUCUAUUUUUGGUGGGGGUGGGGUAGAGUUGUGUUGGUUUAUUCCAUAUUACAAAACAUGUCAAGUGCUGAUUUCUAUUUAUUGGUUUACAUAUCAAAUUGUCCAGAGUGAGUUAAACAUAUUAUCUUCCCAUGAGAAGAUUGGACCACAUGCGGAUAUGCUUAUUUCAAGUUUCUGCAUGGAUAUGGAGCAUGUAAGUUGCCCAUUUGAGUUAUAAAAUGACACAAAAGCUUGUUUCCACUGAAAAGUCCAUAUUACCUGAAGUUGAACAUAAAUAUGAUAUAAUACAAGCGAAACAAUGACUGAUACCUUUCCCAAGAUAUGAGAUUAUAUGUCUAUCAUAGAAUUAUGACACCACCUGUCUUCAAGUUUAAUGGUGAAAGGCACAGCUUAUGUCAAGUGGAAAUUUCUUUGCUACUGGUGGCUGGUGAUACCAAUAACUAGCUGAGUUUUUAACUUUCUAGAAUAUAAUGUACAUCACCAUCUUUGAAGUGUCAUCUUCUACUUCAUCUUCUUUUUGAAAAGGUAGGAUGCAUGGGUCUUACUAUAAUUCCAAAAGAAUUCCACAACUUGGGAAGUCAAUGGGACUUUGGGUUCCUAAUUUUUGUAGUACAGGUUGUUGUUGGAAAGGAGCACAUGCAUGAUUGAGAAGUUUAUAAUAAAAUGGCCUUUUUGGUCAUCAUGACUGAUGUUCUGAGAACUUAGUGCUGGUUUGUGCUUUGUUAUUUGUGUGUAAUGUAUUAUGAAAUAGUGAUUGAUAUUGAAAUGUGUGGUUAAAAAAGAAAGAAAAAUUUUUGAUUUAUGUGUAAUAUUAUUUUAAUGAAGAAUCUGUGGUUAAAAAUGAGUACUAUAGAAAAAAUAAUGUGGUAAAAUGUGAAAGAAAGGAAGACAAGCAAAGCCUUAAUCUGCAAAUUAAAAUUUUCAAGUGUUCUAAAGCGUGUUGCUCUUAUUGGUGAAUUAUCUUCUGCCCUUAUGGGCUAUAUACAAAUUUGAUGUCAUUUUCAACUUCUCGUUUAACGCUGUUUUCAGUUUUCUGUAUCAUCUUCAGAAAAACCUAAACUGUGUCUAAGUGUACAGAAUUGACUUCCUUGCACUUCUACGGAGAAUUUGUUUGAGAACUGAAUCCUUCUGUAUCUUUGAUUCUCUUGUUCCAAUUGAAGGAACCUUUUGUAGUAUUGUUUAUGUCAAUAUAUGAUCUUCACAGCAACACAAGAGUUUUGUGCAUAGUAUUAUCCCGUCUACAAAAUGCUAAUCAAGCCUCCUCGUCCUCACAGCAACUGCAGUUAUUCUGUUCUUUUCCAAUGUCCAAUUGGCCCUCUUAUGUGCUGUUGGUGUCAGUUACGCAGGUUUGCAUUCAUUACCUUCUGCUGGCGCCUUUUCUAUUUCACAGGCAUUCGGUGUUACUGAGAUAUUUGUAAAUAUUUUUGCAGUCUUUAUUUUACAUGCCUCGUUUAGGAAAUUGACCCCUGCAAAGCAAUCUCAAAGAGACGGAAAUAGAAGGAUCGACCAGAGAUGAAGAUCAUGCAUUUUUAAUCGAACACUAUCCUUUGCAAUGUGCUGCUGAGAUGAACCACUAUCACUAUAUCCAAUCUUUUUGCCAGCCUUUCAAGUGAGUAGUUGCAGUACAGCUUAAUCUCUAGUUUAGUUUUCUGUGUUAAAACUGUAGUCAAUCACUUUUGAUUUAAAUUCACUUAUUUUCAUGAAUUAUACAGCAUUUUUUCUGCUUUUAUGCAUGAGGAGAGAAUUUUAUAAUUAUG